rnacentral:rRNA from 1 species
UACGUAGGUGGCAAGCGUUGUCCGGAUUUAUUGGGCGUAAAGGGCGCGCAGGUGGUGUGCUAAGUCUGCCGUGAAAUCUCCCGGCUCAACUGGGAGGCUGCGGUGGAGACUGGUGCGCUUGAGGUACCUAGAGGUCGGUGGAAUUCCCGGUGUAGUGGUGAAAUGCGUAGAGAUCGGGAGGAACACCAGUGGCGAAGGCGGCCGGCUGGGGGUGACCUGACGCUGGAGGCGGCGAAAAGCGGUGGGGAGCGAACCGG